rnacentral:rRNA from 1 species
CACGUAGGCACCAAGCGUUGUCCGGAUUUAUUGGGCGUAAAGAGCUCGUAGGCGGUUCGGUAAGUCGGGUGUGAAAACUCUGGGCUCAACCCAGAGCCGCCACCCGAUACUGCUGUGACUUGAGUUCGGUAGGGGAGCGGGGAAGUUCCUGGUGUAGGCGGUGAAAUGCGCAGAUAUCAGGAGGAACACCAGUGGCGAAGGCGCCGCUCUGGGCCGAGACUGACGCUGAGGAGCGAAAGCGUGGGUAGCAAACAGG